UGCGUAGGCGGCGGGGUAAGUUUGAUGUGAAAUCCCGGGGCUCAACCCUGGAAUUGCAUUGAAUACUACCUUGCUAGAGUACCGGAGAGGAAACUGGAAUUUACGGUGUAGCAGUGAAAUGCGUAGAGAUCGUAAGGAAGACCAGUGGCGAAGGCGAGUUUCUGGACGGUAACUGACGCUGAGGCACGAAGGCCAGGGGAGCAAAACG
rnacentral:rRNA from 1 species